GAUGAACGCUGGCGGCGUGCCUAAUACAUGCAAGUCGAGCGAACAGACGAUGCUCUUGCUGCUCUGACGUUUGCGGCGCACGUGUGUGUAACACGUGUAUCCCCUCCCUAUAUGACUGGGAUAUCUUCGGGACACCGUAUCUUAUACCGGAUAAUCUCUUGAACCGCGUGGUUCAAUAGUGAAAUACGGUCUUGCUGUCUCUACUAGCUGCUUCCGCGCUGCUUUAGCUAGUUGGUAAGGUAACGGCGUACCAAGGCAACGAUGCCUAGCCGAACUGAGAGGGUGAUCGGCCAACCUGGAAGUGAGACACGGUCCAGACUCAUACGGGAGGCAGCAGUAGGGAAACGUGAGCAAGGAGCGAAAGACAGACGGAGAAACGCCGAGUGAGUGAUGAAGGUCUUCGGAUCGGAAAACUCUGUUAUUAGGGAAGAACAUAUGUGUAAGUAACUGUGCACGUCUUGAAGGUACAUAAGCAGAAAGCCACGGCUAACUAAGUG
rnacentral:rRNA from 1 species